UGAGGAAUAUUGCGCAAUGGAGGAAACUCUGACGCAGCAACGCCGCGUGAGUGAAGAAGGCUUUCGGGUUGUAAAGCUCUGUCAGGUGGGAAGAAACCUUUAUAGUUGAAUAGGCUAUAAAACUGACGGUACCACCAAAGGAAGCACCGGCUAACUACGUGCCAGCAGCCGCGGUAAGACGGAGGGUGCAAGCGAUGUUCGGACUCACUGGGCGUAAAGCGCGUGUAGGCGGCUUGACAAGUCGAAUGUGAAAGCCCGGGGCUCAACCUCGGAA
rnacentral:rRNA from 1 species